rnacentral:rRNA from 1 species
GCAUCCUUCGGGGUGAGUGGCAGACGGGUGAGUAACGCGUGGGAACGUGCCCUUCAGUUCGGAAUAACCCAGGGAAACUUGGGCUAAUACCGGAUACGUGCGAGAGCAGAAAGAUUUAUCGCUGAAGGAUCGGCCCGCGUCUGAUUAGCUAGUUGGUAGGGUAAUGGCCUACCAAGGCGACGAUCAGUAGCUGGUCUGAGAGGAUGAUCAGCCACAUUGGGACUGAGACACGGCCCAAACUCCUACGGGAGGCAGCAGUGGGGAAUAUUGGACAAUGGGCGCAAGCCUGAUCCAGCCAUGCCGCGUGAGUGAUGAAGGCCUUAGGGUUGUAAAGCUCUUUCGUCCGGGACGAUAAUGACGGUACCGGAAGAAGAAGCCCCGGCUAACUUCGUGCCAGCAGCCGCGGUAAUACGAAGGGGGCUAGCGUUGUUCGGAAUCACUGGGCGUAAAGGGCGCGUAGGCGGCUUUGUAAGUCGGGGGUGAAAGCCUGUGGCUCAACCACAGAAUUGCCUUCGAUACUGCAUGGCUUGAGACCGGAAGAGGUUAGUGGAACUGCGAGUGUAGAGGUGAAAUUCGUAGAUAUUCGCAAGAACACCAGUGGCGAAGGCGGCUGACUGGUCCGGUUCUGACGCUGAGGCGCGAAAGCGUGGGGAGCAAACAGGAUUAGAUACCCUGGUA